UCGCCUGUUUAUCAAAAACAUAACCUUUAGCAAAACAAGCAUUAAAGGCAACGCCUGCCCGGUGAACAAUUAAACGGCCGCGGUACCCUAACCGUGCAAAGGUAGCACAAUCACUUGUCUAUUAAUUGUAGACCUGUAUGAAAGGCAAAAUGAGGGCCCAACUGUCUCUUGAAGUAAAUCAAUUAAACUGAUCUCCCAGUACAAAAGCUGGAAUUCCACCAUAAGACCAGAAGACCCUGUGAAGCUUAAACUAAACUAUUAAACCGCCUAAUAAAUACUUUCGGUUGGGGCGACCUUGGAAAAAAAAAGAACUUCCAACAAUAUAACAUUAACACCACGGCUGACAAGCCCGUACGACCCAGUAAAACUGACAAUCGGACCAAGUUACUCCAGGGAUAACAGCGCUAUCUUCUUCAAGAGCCCAUAUCAAAAAGAAGGUUUACGACCUCGAUGUUGGAUCAGGACAUCCUAAUGGUGCAGCCGCUAUUAAGGGUUCGUUUGUUCAACGAUUAACAGUCCCACGUGAUCUGAGUUCAGACCGGA
rnacentral:rRNA from 1 species